UGGUGCUACUCUAGAAACUUUAGACCAAUCUAGUACACUCCAAAGUGGUGAAGCAAUUGUCUUACCAGCACCUGGUAAAUAUAAGAGUAGUGAUCAAAAAACGGUUAUGACAGCGCAAGGCCCCAAGAUAAUCGGGAUCCAUGCUAAUGCUAAAGAGAACGAAGAAACACAAAAAUUUGUUAAUUGGUUUUAAAUACGCCAGAAACUUGAGAAAGUAAGAGGAAUAAGAAAAACUCUAAUGAAAAACAAACUGCAGCACAAUACUUUGCUCAAGAGGCAUCUUACAUCUUGCCCUUAAAAGAAAACUUUGAAAAGGUUCAAAUUAACGAUAAAGGUGAGAAAAAUGAAAAUGACACAAAGGGCAAUACUUAUACCGCUAAAGCUUUAGAACUCUUUAAAAAAGUUUCUCAAAAUGAAAUCGUGAGUUACAGUGACCCAAGUGACUUUAGAAGUGGUAAGUUUCGUGAUGCGAUUGGCUCUAACUUUAACGCCAUUAUUAAUUCCAAAGGAGACUUCAAUAAAUUUAUUAGUAGUUUUACCGCAAGUUUAGGCUCAGACUUUUAGUCUUUUAAAUACCCAAUUGAUUUAUUUUUUAAUCGAUUAAUUUAUUUAAUGGAAAAACAAGUAGAUAAAUUAGUGAAAACUUUAAUUCAUCAAAAAGCGUUUCAAUAAAUCCGGUUCUUAGAAAUAAGGUUUUAAUAAAAAAACAUACCAGCAGUUAAUGCUU
rnacentral:sRNA from 1 species